AGGAUGUCUUCUACACUUACUAAAAUAACACUCGUACUUCAUUAGUAUUGUUACAGUAUCAAUUAAAUCAUUUUUUUAGAUGGUAAGGAGAAGACGUUCUAAGUUCAAACGGAUCGAAGCUUUUCACAAAUCAACUCCGUUGUUCCAUUUAGCGGACAAUUAAAGUUCUUGGGGAGCGGGGGUUAAGGUAAGAAAGCUCCACCCCCAAGUUACCCAUGGUGGGAUGAUCCCAAAAUCUUUCCAAUUAGACCAAAUACUAUUUCAUACUAUUAUCCCGUAUUUACUUUACCAAUUAAAUCGAAUUAAUCUAUAAGGAGGAUUUUCUCAAAAAAAAAAAAAAAAGAAAAGAAAAACUAUAAGGAGGAUUUUUUUAAUGAUUAUUUUCCUUACUAAAAAAAAAAAACGGAUUAAUUUUUUCAUCAAUUACAUAUAAAAAAUUACGAGUAAAAUCUUUCAAAAAAAAAAUAAAAAAAUUACGAGUAAAAGUAUUAAAAAUCAGUACUUUAUACUUUAUAGCUUCAAGACUUCAAGAACUACAGUCAUGGCUGCCACAAUCGCUAUCAAUGGUAAUUAGAUCACCUCCAACUAAUUAUUUGCACAUUUUAAGUGUUGAGAUUACGUCGAAGCUGUAUUAGAGGGUAUUGGUUACAAAGUGAUUAUUUUGAGAGGUGGCAGAAUUAGCUUACAGACAAAAUGGUGGAGCUGGUAGUGGAGAAGCACACCCAAUAUAUCAUAUCUGUUGAGAAGGUAAGUUAUUUCUGGUUCCUUUCAAUGUUUGAUUUUUUUAUAAUCUUCCUCUAUGCUUUGAUUCAAAAUGCCAUGGGGUCCAUGAUUAAUUUUUGGAGGCAAGUUUAUUGGUUACUUGUAUCCUUAGAAGAAGGAUGCAUUGGAAUCCGUGGCCACAGAGCAUCUUAGGAUAAAUGGUGCUUACUGGGGACUGACAACACUGGAUCUUUUGGGAAAGCUUCAAGUCACGGACCAAGAUGAAGUUAUUCCAUGGGUUAUGCAGUGUCAACAUGAAUCUGGUUUGUAGAACUUCUUCCUGUUUAAUGGUAAUAAUGCUAAGUCAAACUUUCCAAUUCAUCAAGUUUCUUCCUUUAUUUAUUUUUUGGCUCCUACGAGUAUUUUUAAGUAGGUUUUGGUGGACAUGCUUCAAUGAAUCUGCUUACUUUAAACUAGUAUGAAAAUUAGACUGCGGAAUUACAUGUCUCUUUUUUGGUCCUUCUAGAAGAAUUAAGGACUCAUACAUCUUGAACUUUUCAGGUGAGGCAGGACUGCAAGAUCCGCACUCACUGCUGUUGUUGUUGAGCUAAUAUAAAAAUUCUAGAUAGAUUGUUUGUUCAAAGUUUGCCUCUUUGUGGCUUAAUUUUGAAUGAUGAUUAUGAUACUUGGAUGGUUAAGAUUAGACUCAAAGCAGACAUCAUUCUUAUGGAUCCAAUGUUUUUCCAGUCCUUUCAAAAUUCAAGUAAUAUAGUAGUCCUUGCUAUCUGGUUUAAGAUUAUCAUGCUCUCCACCUCAACCCCCCUCCCUCUUCUCAAACCUUGGUGCGUGGAGGGAAUAUCCUCCCCACCACCCCCACCCCAAGCUAUAUAUAGUAGUUUGCAGUUCUUAAUAUAUUUGUUUGUCCAAUUAAAUGAUGUAACAUGUCAUGCUCACCAUGACUAAAAUUUGCAGGUGGAUUUGGUGGUAAGUGACAAAUUAUAUUGUGGGACUGCAGAAUGAAGAUGGAUCUUUUUCAGGAGACAUGUGGGAACAAGUUGAUACUAGGUUUUCAUAUAUUGCAGUCUGUUGUCUGUCAUUGCUACGUCAAUUGGACAAAAUUGAUGUGGAAAAUGCUGUGAAUCACAUAGUAAGAUGCAAAAACCCUAGAUGGGGGAUUUGGAUGUACUCCUGGUGGGGAAUCGCAUGCAGGACAAAGUAUGUUGGUGCAUUUUGCUACUCUUUAAAAAUAAAUUGAUAGGUGAUAUUGCAAUCUUGAACCUUGAUGUUGCUUAUAUAGAUUAAAUUGUUCUUCCAUCGUUAAUCCUGUCUACGGUCCAUGCCUUUAACUAUUCUCAUCCCUAUUAGCAAUAGCUUUAUCCUGCCUUUUAUCUCUUUAAUUCACCUCCAUCUACUGCUCUCAUGAAUCGAUCAGAGUAAAGGAGCACCAUUUUAAGAGACCGUAUGUUCCAAUUAUGGUAUUUUAAUACUUGCCAAUUUGUGGCCAAGGGCAGUAGUUAAUGCUCCUUACAUUUUCAGAAAAAGCACUUUCCUUUGUACCGAAAAAGAUAAAGAAUUGUAUGUGGGCUUUUUGAGAAUAAUCCCUUCAAUAGUUUGACUUAGUAGUGCUGUAGGGGUAAGGUUGAAAUGGUGCAUACAUAUGGACUUUCCAAACCCUGCCUUAGAGGGAUAACUGGGAUUACUACUGAGUUGUUGAAUGAUUAAUAACACUGCUAUCUGGUUUUGUAUAUUCCUUAAUAUGAAUGAGCCAAGGAUUAUUUCACUUUAAGUAGGUUGCAGUUAGGAUUGUAUAUUUUUUUCACAAAACAGUCUUAUGACUUAUACCUCAAUCUAAGGGAAGCUAUGGCGUUUUAGGACUCUUGGGGUUACAAAAUUUCAGAAACCUGCUCAUCAAACUUUGGAGGGAGGUCGAAAGCAGACAGUUUAGGGGUUUUUAUGUUAUAGUUUUCUAUAUGCAUUGUAUAAAAAUAGAUCUGAGGAAGACAUGGUAUAAUAUCAAAGGUGGGUGAAAACAUGGUCUUUUUUUCUUAGGUUAAGUUUCAUCAUGCGAUUGAUGUUGACCUUUGUUUUAGGUUAGUUUCAUCAUUCGAUCGUUAAGUUUCAUCAUGGUGUGCUAUGCUUCUUUUUGUGCUAGCCAUGCUGUGUCUUGGGUCGGUUCGGCCCAGUGCCAUCUUUAAACUAGAAGUACUUCGUAAUACAAUUGAGGUUGGGCCUCGCAUAACAUUUGUAAGGUUGUAAGAAUGCAACAAAAUCGGCCCAGGCAAGUAAAGUCGGAAUUACUUGCCCAAGUAUCUUUAUGAAGAUUUUUUUUUUUUUUUUUUUUGGAUAGUUAUGAAGAAUUAAUUUCAUCAAUAGUCUCUGGAAAAACAAAAAUUAUGAAGCAACAGAAAACUUGAAGCAGUUCAAAGUAGCAGAAAAGAGCUGAAGAAUUUGGAGAGAGAAGAAAAUGGCGUGUUUAAUUGCAGUUAAUUUCUCUCCUUUUCCAAUCGUCUCUUAUUAUUUCAGGGUAAUACUCUCUUUUUUAUAUUUGUGCUUUUUAUUAAAUUUUUAUUUGAGCUAAUGUUAUCUUACAUUUCACAAGUUUUUUUUUUGAAGAAUCUGAAGGCUAAUUGCUAUAUUUUGUAACUUACCUGUAUAAUGUUAUUCAUUAAAAUGUCCCAAUUUCUCAUUUUAUUCAAAGUGUAAGGCACAUUAUUACAUUAAAUUUUGUUAUUGUUAGAUUGUUUCAAACCCUUUUUAAUAGGAGACUGUAAAUUUUGGGUCAUUAUUUGAUAUAGUUAUAAGUAGGUAUGUGACUCUUGAGAAAUUAUACAUCACACUGUUUUAGGAAUGGUGACAAGUUUUAUAGGACACAUCAAAAUAGGUAUGUACCUAUCUUAUUAACUCGGAGGGAGUAUGAAAUUGUUGAAAUCAAGUAAAUAUUUAGAUGAAACUCAGCUUUGCGGGUUGAAAUUAAUUCAAUUAUAAUUGUUGAUAUCAAGAAAUCAAUUAUAAUUGUUGUUAAUUGCAAGAGGUCAAUUGUAGUUGUAGAACUUAGGUAUGAGGUUGGGGUGCAAAUUGUGCAGCUAUUUUCAUUUUACUAUCAGGUGUCCAAGUGAAUACGGAGUAGUUGACAUUAUGUAUUUUCGAGGGUUGGGCAGUAUGGGACCUUCGAGUUGGAAUGAAGAGUUCGAGUGAGUAAGAUUGGAUUUAGUCUUUUGGAGGUUUUUUUGGAUGCAGCUUAGAGUAAUAUCUCAUUUCAUUUUCCUAAUCAGCUUUGUUCAUUAGUCCUUUUCUACUUGGUAUCUGCUUGAAAUACACAUAUCUCAAUACUUUUGUUAAUUAGAUUCAUUCGCUACCUUGUAUCUGAAUGCAAUAUAUAAUGCCACAUUUUCAAUAUCUCUAGAGUUCCCUACUUCCCUGAGCUUCUUUUCAAUGUUCUGACAGGCCUAUAAAGGAGAGUUGUUUAGGGUAAAAAUU